AUUCCAUACCCUUUUAGUAUCCUCUUCUCAGAUCAACCAAAAAAAAAAAAACCCUGUCUGUCUUCUCAAGUCACCAUUCUCUGUCUAACUAGAGCUUCCAGUUGUCACAGCCCCAACAACACCAUCGUCGGAAGAGGCUGUCUAUAGCAGCGGUGGCGGCGACUUCCUACGGGUUCUCCCCCUGGCAUCCAGUUUCUUUAUCUUCCACCGAGGUUGAGGAUUCGCGAAAGGCAUUAAAGAUUGGGGUACGGGCAAGAAGUUGGCCAUUGAUUUUGAUGCUGGCUUUAAUUCUAUGGGAGAUAAUUUGUCUAAGUUAACUAGCCAACUUGGAUUCAUGUGUAGGAUAAUUUACAAAUUUGUCCGGAGGGGUACAAACCACGUUGCUUGAAAAAAUGCAAUGACUUGUGGAAGGAUCACAAAAGCAAGAUCAAGAAUAAGUAUUUUAAGCCAUUUAAAGACCAUCCUAAUAUCAAAGAUAUGGUGCCUCCGCAAAUUGUUCCAGAACAGUGGUACGAUCUUGUUGAUUAUUGGAAGACUAAAAAAGUAGAGGUAUAUAAAAUAAGUUAAUUACAAAGCAUGUAGCUUUAGAAAAAUUAAUGACUUUAUAUACUUGUGACUUACAUUUAUGGAAGCUGUACAGGACAUUGCAGUCCACAAUGGUGGAAGUCGUUCCUUUCAUUAUAUUAAUCAUAUAACAGGAUGUACUUCAUUCACUCAGAUUCAAAGGAAAGUAUAUACUAUUUAAGUAAAUAUCAAUAUGCAUGUAAAUUACUUAGAUAAUAAUUAAUUUUUAAAUUUUCAGAUGAUUGCUGAAGAGUUGCCCAUGGAUAAAAUAAGUAUUUGGAAACAUACACAUUUAGACACCCCA